rfam:Cavia porcellus supercont2_12 genomic scaffold, whole genome shotgun sequence.
GGGGAUUUAGCUCAGCGGCAUAAGCGCCUGCCUUGCAAGCAGGCAGUUGUAAGUUCGAUCCCCG